UACAGAGGGGGCAAGCGUUAUUCGGAAUUAUUGGGCGUAAAGGCGCGUAAGCGGCCAUUCAAGUGACGGGUGAAAUCCCUCGGCUUAACCGAGGAACUGCCUGUCAGACUGGGCGGCUUGAGACCGGGAGAGGUGAGUGGAAUUCCCAGUGUAGCGGUGAAAUGCGUAGAUAUUGGGAGGAACACCAGUGGCGAAGGCGGCUCACUGGACCGGAACUGACGCUGAGGCGCGAAAGCGUGGGGAGCAAAGCAGG
rnacentral:rRNA from 1 species